AAAUCAUUUUUCUUUUCGGUUCUUGUUUUUGCAAAGGCGAUCAAAUGACGCGGGAGAUUUAUUCCGUUCGCAUGCUUUUGCUAAAAAUAACCAUUAAAUUGUCUCCGUCGGACUGUGGGAUGUGGCGCUGAGAGAUGAAGCAGGCUAAUUGGUCUGUCGGUUCCACGAUCCAUUCCGGGUCUUGGUGGCAUCCUGCUCUUUUCUGUGUAGUUUUCGCCUAUCUGUCUACGCCGCAGCAGCACUAGGCGCUGGGUACCGAAAGCAGAGAUUCCUGAUCCGCCUGAGACAUCUCCAUCGCUGGAUCCCUUUCCCCUAAAUUCGCUUCAUAUCCGGAUACUGGUUUAGGAUUAACCGAAUCUGAGCAAACGUGCGGUCUGUUUCGUCAAAAAAACGAGCAAAGGACAUGAUCUACCAGGGGACCGGCUUCCGGAAGGUUCCGAAGGCCCAGCACCAACAUGUCUAAAAUGGGUCACUGAGGUGGAGCCUAGUGUGAGCGCCGGUUACGGACCCCCCCCCCCACCC